AUUUUGCAUUUAUAAGAAGUUUGAGUGAUAGAGGAAGUGUAUAGGAUGAUGUGGACAUUUUGCGUAGAAGACGUGUGAGAAACCUCGGCCAUUGUUAGCUCUGUGUUGAGAUUGACAGUUUUUGAAGCUUUGUGGAGCAGAGGUGCACCAUGGCUUGCCACAAGGUCACAACUGGUCCCUGGAGAGCCGCUGGUGGUGACGGGCUGCCUGUGCCCUCUCUGCGGCAAACCUCCACAAAUACUCCACUCACCAAGUUCCAGAGGGAGAGGAUCACCGGCCGUACUAAAGGAAGUGGCUCUAUGUAGGGAUGGAACAUGGCAACUGCACCAGCUGGGACACACCUAGCCAACUAUUGUGUUAAGAAUAUGGAGAAAGACGGACCAAGGCAAGAAGAGGAGGAGGAGGAAGAAGAGG